rnacentral:rRNA from 1 species
UACGUAGGUGGCAAGCGUUGUCCGGAAUUAUUGGGCGUAAAGCGUGCGCAGGCGGUUAUGUAAGACAGAUGUGAAAUCCCCGGGCUCAACCUGGGAACUGCAUUUGUGACUGCAUAGCUAGAGUACGGUAGAGGGGAUGGAAUUCCGCGUGUAGCAGUGAAAUGCGUAGAUAUGCGGAGGAACACCGAUGGCGAAGGCAAUCCCCUGGACCUGUACUGACGCUCAUGCACGAAAGCGUGGGGAGCAAACAGG